rnacentral:lncRNA from 1 species
ACUGAGGGGCUUGUCCACCUGUAACAGCUGGUAACUCACCAGCCCAAAAGGUGUAGGGUUCCUUAAGCCAGGGUCUCACUCAGAUCUUGUAUCUUCACAUCGCCUCUAAGUAGUAACUCUGGUAACUGCUGUUUGGUCAGAAAGUUGGAAAUACAAAACGAAGGAUUCAGCGGGGCUGCAUUCCUUCUGGAGACCUGAGGAGAAUCCUUUUGGGAAUUUCUGGAUUAGCACAAGAAAGGCACGGUGACAAGAACAUGAGAUCGCGUUGCAUCCGUAGUCAGAACGCAGAGAUGGCUACUGACUCAGACCUUUCUCCAUUUUAUUUAGUCUAGGAUCCCAGCCCCUGGGGUGGUACUAUCCAUGUAUCCAUGUUCAGGGUGGAUUUACACCCUCAGACACACCCAGAGGUCUGUCCCUCUGGUGAUUCUAAAUCCAGCCACAGAGGCCAUUCAUAUAGUUCAAACCACCUUAGUCAGCAUUGAUCACCUCCCUUUGACUGAGUCAGAGAACACUCCAAAUUCAUAGAUUUUUUUAUAUGGUGAAUGCUAGCUAUAUGCAAAAUCUUGGAUUUGCGUAUGACUUCAAGAACAUCUACCAGCACUGUAUGAGAGAGAAAAAGCCAGCCUCCUCCAAUAACUUGGCUUAAACAAGCUAUUUAUGUUUUCUUUUCAGAGGACUCUGUUCAGCAAGAUGUAUGCAAAUGGUUCCCUACCUUAACAUAACCGAGGGUUCCAAAACUUAUGCAGAACCUCGAGGUUCCCAGAUCCAGCCCGAAGGCUGUCUUAGGGAGAGGGGGAUGAUGCUCAUGAGCCUCAGGAGAAAAACAAAAGAUCACUGGUCCUCAGGAGUGGAAACUUGGGAGAUUCUCAACUGUCUCUCUCCAGCAGUAUAAAAAGGAUACUUCAGAACAAAAGGUCAGCAGUCAUUGUUUCAGUCAGCUGAGGAGAUUUAGUCUACAGGCACAAACGUCCCCCCGGACUCGGAAGCUCAAAAGAAUGAAGGGUACUCAGCAUCUUUCAGCACUAGGAGAGCUAACCAGUAUAGAAGAAGUCUCUGGGAAAUUUGAUUUUUCCAUAUUCUAUAACUCAAGUAUGUGCUGUCUUCAGAGAUAAGGUCUCACUGGAAAGUUCUGAAGAGUUACUGAGAGAAGUGACAAUGGCUCAUAAUAUUUAGAGGUUUGGGAGGCCUCACUGCUCAGAAGCUCCAAAAGAAGUAACCCAUCCUGGACUGGGGGUUUUAUUUGUAAGGGUUUCCUGUAUUUUAGUGACUAAAAUCUAAGUUGCAUGGCAAAAGCUGAUGUCAUGGGCAGGAAUGACACUUGUUUCACAUGGAAAAGCACUAAAUAUAUUCAACAAUAAUAUAACCUGUCACUCUCUUAUUAUAACACUACCUUUUACAUUAUUCUCUUUGCUAUGUAAAAUAUUCUCUACUCAUAAAACUAAAAAAUGGGAGGGAACAAAUAUCUAAUAAACAUUUGAAGAGUGACAAAUGAUAUAUCUAUAUGAUUGAAUAUUUGCCAAUAAAAAUAAAUCAGGCAUUGAUACACGGUA